UACGAAGGGGGCUAGCGUUGCUCGGAAUCACUGGGCGUAAAGCGCACGUAGGCGGCUUUUUAAGUCAGGGGUGAAAUCCUGGAGCUCAACUCCAGAACUGCCUUUGAUACUGAGAAGCUCGAGUCCGGGAGAGGUGAGUGGAACUGCGAGUGUAGAGGUGAAAUUCGUAGAUAUUCGCAAGAACACCAGUGGCGAAGGCGGCUCACUGGCCCGGUACCGACGCUGAGGUGCGAAAGCGUGGGAGCAAACAGG
rnacentral:rRNA from 1 species